GAUAACUGUCAUAAUUCAAGCAACUGCACUCUGUAGAGCAACCAGAGACCAGAGGCAUCAGGAUUAUAUAUGUUCAGGCAAAUCAUGUGCAAGUGUAGGGGAUUUAUGAGUCACUAACUGGGCAUAAACAAGGAAGGAGGAAGGGCUAGAGGGACUGUCUCUAUGGGAGAUGCUGGGGGGUCCAGAAAACACGUGCAAAUGCUUCCUCCAGAGUGUUGUUAUAUGCUUGAGGUCAGUGACUUCAUCAUGCAAUUUUGCAUCCACCUAUCCUAGUAGCAGCCCUCAGUAAAUGUUUGUUGAGUGAAUGAGUGAAUGACUGUUGACCCUGGCAAUGCACAAUAGCUCCUGAAUUGUUCUGUGUGUGCACAUCUUCUCCCGUUCCUAUUCAAAUAUUUAUUCUAAAUCACUGGAGCCGCAGCUGCCCGACUGAAGAGCCACACUCGAAAUCUCUAUUAGCCAAGUGAGGCUCUAAGCCAGUGCUUCUCAACCUUGGCUGCACUUUAGAAUCACUUGGGGGAUGUUUCAAACUCCCAAUGCUCAGGCUCUACCUCAGACCAGUUACAGUCAGAAUCUCUGGAGCCAAGGCCUAGGCAUCAGAGCUCCAAGGUUGAGAACCGCUGCUCUAAGCCAGCAUGGAAACUGCUCUGGCUCAGGAGUUAGGAGACCCAGAAGAUACCCCUCACUACAAAAAAGUGCCAGUGUCACUUUCACUGAGGCCCAAAGUGCAGACAGAAAAGAGAUAGUUCUGACGGCACUUAGGAAUUUGUUUUUGUACUCCUCUGGAAUUUGAGGAGAGGAGGGUGUGUCACGUGUCUUGGGAAUACCUAACAUUUCAAACGACAAAACGAUGCCACACUGUGAAAUGAGAUGGGAAGCUAUUGAGUAUCCCGGCCCGGCUCUGGGUAGCAACCUCUCUCCAGCCUCCAGGCCACGGGCACACAGAAGCUCUGCGGCGGUCUGCCUGCUGUGCAGCAGCCUCCGUCCACAGGCCCCCCCGAGUUCUUUCUGAGGAAAGGCCGAGUGAGGACACAGAGAGAAAGCAACCCUGCUGGCAUCUUGAUCUUGGACUUGUAGCCUCCAAAAGAGUGAAGUAUUGCAUCUGAGAAGAUCUGAAGUACUUGGGGCAGCAAACAAGGUUUUAGAGGCUGUUUGGGGAAGGCAAAAGCGAGAGGUGAGGGAGCCAGAAGAGGAUUCUGAAGGGAACCAAAAUAUCCAGUGAGGAAUUCAAGAAGUUUUUGCUUUGUGAUGUGUGAAGUCAGUCCCCUCUCUCUUCCCUCCAACAAAAUCUUCAGAAAGUUACUUCUGUUAUCGCACUGUGGAUCUGUUUUGAGGGACACAUCAAGUGCUGAGUUCUGUUUCAAGGAGGGCUGAGGGUAAGAGCAGAUGCUGUCCAAGGGAGCCUGGCCACUCUAGGAAUACUAAAGAACAAAGGAAAAACUAAGUAAACAAAUGAAUUAAUUAAUUAAUUAAUGAGUGGAUCUUGGAACUCCUGCGAUCCUCCAGUAGCUGAUCAUCAUCCCUGGCAAGGCCUGGAAUCACUUCAGUUCAGUCUCCAGCCAAAUUCUGGAACUGGCCAAUUGGCCGGCUCCAUUUCCUAUCUCUUUUCUAUCCAAACUUUCCUUCUGUUUUCUUUUCCUUCACAUUGUGGGUUUGGGGAUUGAAGUGAUUUCUGUAGCAUGAACUCUUUGUUUAUUCAUUCUUUAAUUUUCUGACGUGUAUUGAAUGCUGUGUUGGGUGUGGGGCCAUGUGUGAUGGGGAAUUCUGAGAAAAGAUGGACUUCACAGUCAGCCAGCGAGAUAAGACUGGACUAUUGUAAGAGGCAGGAAGAAGUAGCUGCCACAGAAGAGACAAAAAUAAAAUGCUGUAACUGUUCAAAGAUGGGGUCUCAGGGGGCACAGUGCAGGAUAGAAGGUUGAGAAAGUCUCAUAGAAAUGGUGACAUCUAAGCCAAGCCUUAAAUUAAGGGUGACAUCUGAACAUGAAGAGAGAAGGAUUUGGGGGUUAGAGAUUGGAUGAGGGGGUAAUUCCUGACCUACCCACGCUGCUUUCCACAUUAACAUGCUGCUGACCUGUGUCCAGGCCCUUCUGGAUCCUUCCUCAGUGCUGUCCCGAGCCAGAGGGGAGAUGCAUUGACAUGUUAAUAAAAGAAAACCAGCCUCAGGCUUUUCCACCCACCGCUGAAGAAACCAAGGUUCUUUUUCAACUGUGACCUUUUGGGAACAGCUCCCCCUACCCUGGUCACCCAGUCAGAGAAGGGAAGAGCUAGAGUUGAAAAGAGCAAUAGGAUGGUACUACCAGAGGCCUGGGAUGUGGGAAGGGAAACUGAGGCCCAGAGAAAGAACAUUGACGCUGUAUUCCCUUAGCAGCACUCAAUGAAUAAAUGAAUUAAUGUAGAUGUCUGUUUGUUGCCCCACUUUGACAGUGAGCUCCUCAAGGGCAUGAGCUGAGUCUUACGCGUCUUGGUGUCCCCAGCACGGGACCUAGAACAUUGUAGGUGUGCAGUAUAUGGUAGCUGAACUAGCAUUCUACUGCCCUGGUAGUGAUUCUCAAUGCAUGGUCUCUGGAGCUGUAGUGUCAGCAUAAGCUGGGGACUUGUUGGAAAUACAAACUCUUGGGGCCUCACCCUAGACCUACUGAAUCAGAAACUCUGGGAGCAGAGUCCACAAAUCAGUGUUUUAGCAACUCCCCUGGGAGAUUCUGAUGCAGGUUAUAGCUUGAGAACCAUUGUUGUAGGAUAUUUGAGCCAAAAGACUUGCUCUGGCUUCCUUCAGCACAUCAAGAACUUACGCUUUUUAUAUACAACAGACACAUCUUUAUACUCCCACCCCCUUUGCCAAAAAAAGAGAAAAGAACAGAAAUGCCACAAAUAUAUUACCAGUGACCAGAAAAAUAUAAAUCAGUAGUGGCAAGUUGUUAUCCUUCCUGAAAAAACAUAAACUUUGCCUGUUAAAAAUACAUUCAGUGGGGCCCAGCCUGGUGGCCAAGUGGUUAAAGUUCUGUUUGCUCUGCUUCGGCAGCCCGGGUUAAUGGGUUUGGAUCCCAGGUGCAGACCUACUCUGCUCACCAGCCAUGCUAUGGAGGUGUCCUACAUACAAAAAGAUAGAGGAAGAUUGGCACAGAUGUUAGCUCAGAGCUAAUCUUCCUCAAGCAGAAAAAGAGGAGGAUUGACAAUGGAUGUUAGGUCAGGGCAACCUUCCUCAGCAAAAAAUUUAAAAAUAUAUGUAUAUAUAUUCAAUGAUUUCAAAACAGACUUUUUAUAGAAUAGGAAGAGGGCAAAGAAAAAUGUCAAAAAAAAUUGAGCUGUAGUUUAAUGUGAAACUGCCACUCCUUUCAAACUGCUCAUCCUCCUUGUCAAUCUCAUUGUCAUCCCUGAUAAUUCCUAGGAGCUGCCACCAAUUGAUUCCUUCUGGAGUGGAAGAUCCUGUAAAAUUCAUUAUUUUCUUGAUCACCGACAUUGCUUCAGUACUUAUGGGACAGGCAGAAUUGACGGGAUCUUCUCUCCCUUCUGUAUUUUUGUACUUGGCAGAUAAGAAGAGCAAGGGAGUUUUGCAUAUGUCCACACAAAAUCAAUCCCCAAGUAUAAUCUCGGUCCUCACUAUGUGCUCAGUACUAUGCUGGCUUUGUAGGGAAUAUAGUUGGAUUUUAUUCCUAUCCUCAGGGAACCCCCAAUCUGGUAGGAUGAGUAUAUGCAGAAUGAAUGACUUAGCUUUUGGAUUAGGGCUUUCCAGCUUACAAAGUGUUUUUGCAGAGACAGUUUCAUUCGAUCCUUACAACAGAUCCUGGAAGCAGCACAUAGUGGCUAUAUCAAGGUAAAUCCAAAUCUGGAGCUACAAAAUGACCUGGUGAUAAACUACAAGGAAGGCUCCCUGACUUACAAGCAUUCCUUGGGCGGCUAUAUAGAUAGUGGCCUGCCACCGGAGAGGCCACAGGCUGGAGCAAGGAGCUGACUCAUGGGGUAGGGAGAAAAUGGCCUGGAUCUUUGACAGAGGGUGUUUUUUUUUGUUUGAUUUGGUAAUUUUAAACUCUUCUCUUGGAAAUGUUUCUCAAGAUUCAAGUAAUUCCUAGUAUUCUACUGCUGAAGGACAUUUCUGAAAAUUUAGAAAGGAUUCCAAGAAAUCAAUAAGAAAAAGACGAGCCAGCCCUGAUGGUCUAGCUGUUAAAGUUUGGUGCACUCUGCUUUGGCGGCCUGGGUUUGGUUCCCAGGUGCAGAACCACAGCACUCACCUGUCAGUAGCCAUGCCAUGGUGGCAGCUCAUAUAGAAGAACUAGAAGAAUUUACAACUAUGUACUGGGGCUUUGUGGGGGGAAAGGAAGAAAAAGGAGGAAGAUUGGCAACAUAGCUUAAGGCAAAUCUUCCACUGUAAAAAAUAAAAAAGAAAAAGACAGCCCAAAAGAAAAAUGGACCAAAAAAAAAAAAAAAAAAAAAAAACAAGAACCAGAGACUCGAAGAAGAAGAACUGGCCAAUAAUCAUAUGAAAAGAUGAGUGAUCUAUACUGUAGCCUUCUGCAACUUACUGUUUUCAAUACAACACUAUGCCUCUAAGCUUUGUCCAUCUGUGGUAUUGUGUGUGGCAACAUUCAUUUUCACUGCUGUAAUAAUAUUUCAUUGGGGUUCUGAGGAAGAAGUUUCCAGAAGAGGCAGUGCUGGAUCUUAGGGCACGCCUGGCCUUCCUGCCUCAUUAUCCUCUUGAUCCUGAUGUCCUAGAGACCUCUGCUGUCACCGCCUGCCUGCCCAGACCACUCCAUGGUUCACCCACUCCAUGGCCUGUUUUCCUUGCUCCUCCCUGGAAAGCCA
ensembl:lncRNA